rnacentral:rRNA from 1 species
UACGUAUGGAGCAAGCGUUAUCCGGAUUUACUGGGUGUAAAGGGUGCGUAGGUGGCGCGUCAAGUCAGAUGUGGAAUACCGGGGCUCAACCCCGGAGCUGCAUUUGAAACUGGCGUGCUGGAGUACAGGAGAGGCAGGCGGAAUUCCUAGUGUAGCGAUGAAAUGCGUAGAUAUUAGGAGGAACACCAGUGGCGAAGGCGGCCUGCUGGACUGUCACUGACACUGAGGCACGAAAGCGUGGGGAGCAAAC